AUGGCUGCGGGACCGAUCUCCGGAUGGAAUCAGGAUGCCACGGUGUACGUGGGAGGUCUAGAGGAGAAAGUGAGUGGGCCACUGCUGUGGGAGCUCUUUCUCCAGGCAGGGCCAGUGGUUAACACCCACAUGCCGAAGGAUAGAGUCAUUGGCCAGCACCAAGGCUAUGGCUUUGUUGAAUUCCUGAGUGAGGAAGAUGCUGACUAUGCCAUUAAGAUUAUGAACAUGAUCAAACUCUAUGGGAAGCCAAUACGAGUGAACAAGGCCUCAGCUCACAACAAAAACCUGGAUGUAGGAGACAACAUUUUCAUUGGAAAUCUGGACCCAGAAAUGGAUGAAAAGCUCUUUACGAUACUUUCAGCGCUUUUGGAAUCAUCUUACAGACCCCCAAGUUUAUGCGGGACCCUGACACAGGCAACUCCAAGGGUUAUGCCUUCAUUAAUUUUGCCUCAUCUCAUGCUUCAGAUGCAGCAAUUGAGGCCAUGAAUGGGUAGUACCGGUGUAACCGCCCUAUUGCUGUGUCUUAAGCCUUCAAGGACUCUAAGGGUGAACACCAUGGCUCAGCACCUGAACGACUCCAGAACCCACUGUCCCAGGCUGACUGCCCUCAUGAGCUGUUUGCCGAUGCACCCCCUCUGCCCUCUGCCCCUAAUCCUGUGGUUUCAUCCCGGGAUUCUGGGCUUCCUCCACCAGGCAUGCCACCUCCUGGAGCCCUCCCUCCUGGGAUACCCCCAGCUAUGCCUCCACCACCUAUGCCACCUGGGGCUGGAGGACAUGGCCCCCAGCAGCAGGAACUCCAAGGGCUGGACAUCCUGGUCUUGGGCAUUCACAUCCUCACCCCUUCCCACCAGGUGGGAUGCCCCAUCCAGGGAUGUCCCAGAUGCAGCUGGCCCACCAUGGCCCCCAUGGCCUAGGACACCCCCAUGCUGGGCCUCCAGGCUCGGGGGCGGGGGGAGGAGCCACCACCUCGGCCACCUCCUGGAGUGCCUCAUCCUGGACUUCCUCCGAUGGGCAUGUCCCCUGAGGGCCUCCUCUCAGAUCUCCCAUGAGUCACCCAGGUCCCAUGCCUCCUCAUGGUAUGCGUGGGCCUCCUCCUUUCAUGCCGCCUCAUGGAUACAUCGGUCCUUCAAGAUCCCCUCCGUAUGGCUACCAGCGGGGCCCCUCCCUCUACCGAGACCCACUCCACGGCCCCCGUUCCACCUCAUGGUCCGCUUGGGGGCCCACUUCCUCAGUAA